AUUGAACGCUGGCGGCAUGCCUUACACAUGCAAGUCGAACGGCAGCACGGGAGCAAUCCUGGUGGCGAGUGGCGAACGGGUGAGUAAUAUAUCGGAACGUGCCCAGUCGUGGGGAUAACGUAGCGAAAGCUACGCUAAUACCGCAUACGAUCUAUGGAUGAAAGCGGGGGAUCGCAAGACCUCGCGCGAUUGGAGCGGCCGAUAUCAGAUUAGGUAGUUGGUGAGGUAAAGGCUCACCAAGCCGACGAUCUGUAGCUGGUCUGAGAGGACGACCAGCCACACUGGGACUGAGACACGGCCCAGACUCCUACGGGAGGCAGCAGUGGGGAAUUUUUGGACAAUGGGCGCAAGCCUGAUCCAGCAAUGCCGCGUGCAGGAUGAAGGCCUUCGGUUGU
rnacentral:rRNA from 1 species